rnacentral:rRNA from 1 species
CCAUUUGUCGACAACAGAGUUUGAUCCUGGCUCAGAUUGAACGCUGGCGGCAGGCUUAACACAUGCAAAGUCGAGCGGUAACAGAAAGAAAGCUUGCUUUCUUUGCUGACGAGCGGCGGACGGGUUAGAGUAAUGCCUAGGGAACUGCCCAGUCGAGGGGGAUAACAGUUGGAAACCGACCUGCUAAUACCGCAUACCGCCCUACGGGGGUAAAAGAGGGGACCUUCGGGGCCUUCUGCGAUUGGAUGUACCUAGGUGGGAUUAGCUAGUAGGUGAGGUAAUGGCUCACCUAGGCGACGAUCCCUAGCUGUUCUGAGAGGAUGAUCAGCCACACUGGGACUGAGACACGGCCCAGACUCCUACGGGAGGCAGCAGUGGGGAAUAUUGCACAAUGGGCGCAAGCCUGAUGCAGCCAUGCCGCGUGUGUGAAGAAGGCCUUCGGGUUGUAAAGCACUUUCAGCGAGGAGGAAAGGUUAAGUGUUAAUAGCGCUUAGCUGUGACGUUACUCGCAGAAGAAGCACCGGCUAACUUCGUGCUAGACAGCCGCGGUAAUACGAGGGGUGCAAGCGUUAAUCGCGAAUUACUGGGCGUAAAGCGUACGCAGGCGGUUUGUUAAGCGAGAUGUGAAAGCCCCGGGCUCAACCUGGGAACUGCAUUUCGAACUUGGCAAACUAGAGUCUUGUAGAGGGGGGUAGAAUUUCAGGUGUAGCGGUGAAAUGCGUAGAGAUCUGAAGGAAUACCGGUGGCGAAGGCGGCCCCCUGGACAAAGACUGACGCUCAGGUACGAAAGCGUGGGGAGCAAACAGGAUUAGAUACCCUGGUAGUCCACGCCGUAAACGAUGUCUACUCGGAAUUUGGUGUCUUGAACACUGGGUUCUCAAGCUAACGCAUUAAGUAGACCGCCUGGGGAGUACGGGCCGCAAGGUUA